AUCAAGUUGAAACACCAGUUCUCAUCUGAUAACCAAAGUUAAGAAAUGCCAAACCUGGUCAGUACUUAGAUGUGUGACUGCUUGAGAAUACCAAGUGCUGUAAG